CAGCCGGAGGCCCGGCCUAGCCAGCCGGAGGCCCGGCCUAGCCAGCCGGAGGCCUGGACUUGCCGAGCAGGCUCUCUGCUGACAGAACCAGGCAAGAGGGAGAGAACCCGGUCCAGCCAAGCCUCUUGGGGCUGAGCGGGAUGCUUGUGUCAAGUUGACACACAACCAGCCAGUACACCAGUCCAACGUAAACUCCCACGGAAUGUGAAGUGGCACUGGAUACUUGAAGCGAUGGACAAAUGGAUGGAUGGACGGAUGGACAGAUGGUAGCAAGCUCAAUAUGUGACCAGCUACUUCCCUUGUUUCUGAUUCCCCAGAACAGGAUGUCCAAUAAAAAUGUAAUUACUA